rnacentral:rRNA from 1 species
UUGGAGGGCAAGUCUGGUGCCAGCAGCCGCGGUAAUUCCAGCUCCAAUAGCGUAUAUUAAAGUUGUUGCAGUUAAAAAGCUCGUAGUUGAAUUUCGGGGUUCUACCGUUGGUCGGGCUUUGUCUGUACUGGUGUGUAGAAUUUCUACCUUCUGGGGAACCAUCAUGCUAUUAAUUUAGCGUGGUGGGAAACCAGGACCUUUACCUUGAAAAAAUUAGUGUGUUCAAAGCAGGCUUAUGUCUGAAUACAUCAGCGUGGAAUAAUAGAAUAGGACGGUGGUCCUGUUUUGUUGGUUUCUGAAUCACCGUAAUGAUUAAUAGGGAUAGUUGGGGGCAUUAGUAUUCAAUUGUCAGAGGUGAAAUUCUUGGAUUUAUUGAAGACUAACUUCUGCGAAAGCAUUUGCCAAGGAUGUUUUCAUUAAUCAAGAACGAAAGUUAGGGGAUCGAAGACGAUCAGAUACCGUCGUAGUCUUAACCAUAAACUAUGCCGACUAGGGAUCGGACGAUGUUAAUUUUUCUUGACUCGUUCGGCGCCUUACGGGAAAC